rnacentral:tRNA from 17 species
CUUCAAAUCCAAGGUUGUUGCGGUUGACAUACAUCUUAAUGGUAGUCGGGUUCAAUUCCGGUUCGUUCC